rnacentral:rRNA from 1 species
AUGCAAGUCGAGCGAAUGGAUUAAGAGCUUGCUCUUAUGAAGUUAGCGGCGGACGGGUGAGUAACACGUGGGUAACCUACCCAUAAGACUGGGAUAACUCCGGGAAACCGGGGCUAAUACCGGAUAAUAUUUUGAACUGCAUAGUUCGAAAUUGAAAGGCGGCUUCGGCUGUCACUUAUGGAUGGACCCGCGUCGCAUUAGCUAGUUGGUGAGGUAACGGCUCACCAAGGCGACGAUGCGUAGCCGACCUGAGAGGGUGAUCGGCCACACUGGGACUGAGACACGGCCCAGACUCCUACGGGAGGCAGCAGUAGGGAAUCUUCCGCAAUGGACGAAAGUCUGACGGAGCAACGCCGCGUGAGUGAUGAAGGCUUUCGGGUCGUAAAACUCUGUUGUUAGGGAAGAACAAGUGCUAGUUGAAUAAGCUGGCACCUUGACGGUACCUAACCAGAAAGCCACGGCUAACUACGUGCCAGCAGCCGCGGUAAUACGUAGGUGGCAAGCGUUAUCCGGAAUUAUUGGGCGUAAAGCGCGCGCAGGUGGUUUCUUAAGUCUGAUGUGAAAGCCCACGGCUCAACCGUGGAGGGUCAUUGGAAACUGGGAGACUUGAGUGCAGAAGAGGAAAGUGGAAUUCCAUGUGUAGCGGUGAAAUGCGUAGAGAUAUGGAGGAACACCAGUGGCGAAGGCGACUUUCUGGUCUGUAACUGACACUGAGGCGCGAAAGCGUGGGGAGCAAACAGGAUUAAAUACCCUGGUAGUCCACGCCGUAAACGAUGAGUGCUAAGUGUUAGAGGGUUUCCGCCCUUUAGUGCUGAAGUUAACGCAUUAAGCACUCCGCCUGGGGAGUACGGCCGCAAGGCUGAAACUCAAAGGAAUUGACGGGGGCCCGCACAAGCGGUGGAGCAUGUGGUUUAAUUCGAAGCAACGCGAAGAACCUUACCAGGUCUUGACAUCCUCUGAAAACUCUAGAGAUAGAGCUUCUCCUUCGGGAGCAGAGUGACAGGUGGUGCAUGGUUGUCGUCAGCUCGUGUCGUGAGAUGUUGGGUUAAGUCCCGCAACGAGCGCAACCCUUGAUCUUAGUUGCCAUCAUUAAGUUGGGCACUCUAAGGUGACUGCCGGUGACAAACCGG